UACGAAGGGGGCUAGCGUUGUUCGGAAUCACUGGGCGUAAAGCGCACGUAGGCGGAUUGUUAAGUCAGGGGUGAAAUCCUGGAGCUCAACUCCAGAACUGCCUUUGAUACUGGCGAUCUCGAGUCCGGGAGAGGUGAGUGGAACUGCGAGUGUAGAGGUGAAAUUCGUAGAUAUUCGCAAGAACACCAGUGGCGAAGGCGGCUCACUGGCCCGGUACUGACGCUGAGGCACGAAAGCGUGGGGAGCAAACAGG
rnacentral:rRNA from 1 species